GUAGAAGUUUUGUUACAAAGCUUAAACAUAAAGGAAUUGAUGGAAGGGCACCUACAAGAGUGGAGCCCGUAGCUUAAUUUGUCUCAAAUUUAUCAGGUCUCAACAU
rnacentral:ncRNA from 1 species